rnacentral:rRNA from 1 species
UACGUAGGGUGCAAGCGUUGUCCGGAAUUAUUGGGCGUAAAGAGCGUGUAGGCGGCCACACAGGUCUGCUGUGAAAACUCGAGGCUCAACCUCGAGCUGUCGGUGGAAACCGUGUGGCUAGAGUCCGGAAGAGGAGAGUGGAAUUCCCGGUGUAGCGGUGAAAUGCGCAGAUAUCGGGAAGAACACCCGUGGCGAAGGCGGCUCUCUGGGACGGUACGUGACGCUGAGACGCGAAAGCGUGGGGAGCGAACAGG